UCGAGAAUUUUUCUCAAUGGGCGAAAGCCUGAAGGAGCGACGCCGCGUGGGGGAUGAAGGGCUUCGGUCCGUAAACCCCUGUCAUUUGUGAACAAGGUUUACGAGUUAAUAGCUUGUGAAUUGAUAGUAGCAAAAGAGGAAGGGACGGCUAACUCUGUGCCAGCAGCCGCGGUAAUACAGAGGUCCCAAGCGUUGUUCGGAUUCACUGGGCGUAAAGGGUGCGUAGGUGGCCUGGUAAGUUUGAUGUGAAAGCUCGGAGCUUAACUCCGAAAUGGCAUUGAAUACUACUGGGCUUGAGGGUCGGAGGGGAGACUGGAAUUCUCGGUGUAGCAGUGAAAUGCGUAGAUAUCGAGAGGAACACCAGUGGCGAAGGCGAGUCUCUGGACGACACCUGACACUCAGGCACGAAAGCUAGGGGAGCAAACAGG
rnacentral:rRNA from 1 species